rnacentral:hammerhead_ribozyme from 1 species
AUCCAGCUGGCGAGUCCCAAAUAGGACAAACCGUGCGUCGUGGAU